CCUACGGGAGGCAGCAGUGGGGAAUAUUGCACAAUGGGGGAAACCCUGAUGCAGCGACGCCGCGUGAGUGAAGAAGUAUUUCGUUAUGUAAAGCCCUAUCAGCAGGGAAGCAAAUGACGGUAACUGUGUAACAAGCCCAGGCUAACUCCGUGCCAGCAGCCGCGGUAAGACGUAGGGGGCAAGCGUUAUCCGGAUUUACUGGGUGUAAAGGGAGCGUAGACGGCAGUGCAAGUCUGGAGUGAAAGGCGGGGGCUCAACCCCCGGACUGCUCUGGAAACUGUACGGCGGGAGUGCAGGAGAGGUAAGUGGAAUGCGUAGUGUAGCGGUGAAAUGCGUAGAUAGUAGGAGGAACACCAGUGGCGAAGGCGGCUUACUGGACUGUAACUGACGUUGAGGCUCGAAAGCGUGGGGAGCAAACAGGAUUAGAUACCCGAGUAGUC
rnacentral:rRNA from 1 species